UUUUGACCAGUGCUCUCACAAUCAAAUUUUCGAAUUCCUUAGAAAAAGCUCGAAAAUUCCUCAGAUUUCCUUAAAAUUCCUUAAAUUGGUAAAAUUACUACAAGGCCUGAUCACAGAGUUGCAAAAAGUGUUUUUCACCUGAUUUACCAGAAUUUUUCGAACUGAACGUUCUUUAAAACCGUAUUUUUUGAAAAUUUGAAGUUUCUAGACCGUCGGAAAUGGCAUUUUUAGAGUCUUUCCUACCCAAUAUUUUAGUAUUGCCUAACAAUGAACUACAAGAUAAGUAUUGCCACUUUCAGUUUAUAAUGGGAAAUUGAGAAAAUUUUGGAAAUUUAGCGUCUCCAGAUCGUCAGAAAGGGUAUUUUGCAAUUGUCUCCCUGUCACAACACGUCUCAACGUCUUUAGUUUGUUUGAUUGUUAACUCCAAUUCAGAUUAGAGAGUUCACUUUUUUAUGCCCUGAGAAUUACCUAUUGUUCAUGAGCAAUAUUAGGGGUGUUGCACCCUCCCUCCCCCCUUCCCCGGUCGCUAGGGCCCUGAGAACUUAGAAAAUCUGUAGAUUUCAGAAGAAACAGCAUACACUGACAUUUAACUUUUGAGAAUUUUAAUGGAAAGACAGCCAUAUGUAUGUACAUUUAAUUACGACAUAGAGAACAUACGAAUAUAUGUAAUUAUGUACAUAUAAUGUUGCUACUUUCAAGUUUAAAUCUCAUUUGCGUGGCGUGGUUAUUCUCCGUCAAAACGUUUUUAGUCCAGGAUAAAAUGUUUUGGAAAUUCCUUAAAAAAAUCCUCAAAAACCUAAAUUCCUUAAAAAAAUCCUUAAAACUCUUCAAAAUUCCUAUUUUUAAGGAUAAUUCCUUAAAAGUGAGAGCACUGGAUUUGAC
rnacentral:lncRNA from 1 species